ACGACUCUCGGCAACGGAUAUCUCGGCUCUCGCAUCGAUGAAGAACGUAGCGAAAUGCGAUACUUGGUGUGAAUUGCAGAAUCCUGCGAACCAUCGAGUCUUUGAACGCAAGUUGCGCCCGAGGCCACUCGGCCGAGGGCACGCCUGCCUGGGCGUCACGC
rnacentral:rRNA from 1 species